rnacentral:rRNA from 1 species
GAUGAACGCUAGCGGCAGGCUUAACACAUGCAAGUCGAGGGGUAACAGGGAGGAGCUUGCUUUUCCGCUGACGACCGGCGCACGGGUGCGUAACGCGUAUAGAACCUACCUUUUACAGGGGAAUAGCCCAGAGAAAUUUGGAUUAAUGCCCCAUAGUAUUAUUGAAUGGCAUCAUUUAAUAAUUAAACAUUUAUGGGUAAAAGAUGGCUAUGCGUUCUAUUAGCUAGAUGGUAAGGUAACGGCUUACCAUGGCAACGAUAGAUAGGGGUCCUGAGAGGGAGAUCCCCCACACUGGUACUGAGACACGGACCAGACUCCUACGGGAGGCAGCAGUGAGGAAUAUUGGACAAUGGAGGCAACUCUGAUCCAGCCAUGCCGCGUGCAGGAAGACGGUCCUAUGGAUUGUAAACUGCUUUUAUAUAGGAAGAAACCUUUCCACGUGUGGAAAGCUGACGGUACUAUAAGAAUAAGCACCGGCUAACUCCGUGCCAGCAGCCGCGGUAAUACGGAGGGUGCAAGCGUUAUCCGGAAUCAUUGGGUUUAAAGGGUCCGUAGGCGGACUAAUAAGUCAGGGGUGAAAUCCAACAGCUUAACUGUUGAACUGCCUUUGAUACUGUUAGUCUUGAGUUAUAUGGAAGUAGAUAGAAUAUGUAGUGUAGCGGUGAAAUGCUUAGAGAUUACAUAGAAUACCGAUUGCGAA